GGCGGUGUGGUGCAGUGGUUUGAGUGUUGGACUGCGACUCUGGAGACCAGGGUUCGAGUCCCAGCUCGGCCA
rnacentral:tRNA from 1 species